CACCUCCGGGUGGUGGACAGCGGCGGACGGGUGAGUAACGCGUGGGAACAUGCCCUUCGGUACGGAAUAGCCUCGGGAAACUGGGAAUAAUACCGUAUACGCCCUACGGGGGAAAGAUUUAUCGCCGAAGGAUUGGCCCGCGUUAGAUUAGCUAGUUGGUGGGGUAACGGCCCACCAAGGCGACGAUCUAUAGCUGGUUUGAGAGGAUGAUCAGCCACACUGGGACUGAGACACGGCCCAGACUCCUACGGGAGGCAGCAGUGGGGAAUAUUGGACAAUGGGGGAAACCCUGAUCCAGCCAUGCCGCGUGAGUGAAGAAGGCCCUAGGGUUGUAAAGCUCUUUCAACUGAGACGAUGAUGACGGUAUCAGUACAAGAAGCCCCGGCUAACUUCGUGCCAGCAGCCGCGGUAAUACGAAGGGGGCUAGCGUUGUUCGGAAUCACUGGCCGUCGUUUUACAGUAGGCGGAUAUGCAAGUUUGGGGUGAAAUCCCGAGGCUCAACCUCGGAACUGCCUUGAAAACUGUAUAUCUAGAAUCCGGAAGGGGAGUGUGGAACUCCUAGUGUAGAGGUGAAAUUCGUAG
rnacentral:rRNA from 1 species